CUGUGUUUUGUUCGUGAAAGCUACUGACAUGGGCCAGCCCACAAGGACGCUGAAUGCUGCCAGGCUGACCUACAGGGUGGCCUCUGUGAUUCUGUCCUGCACGUGGAUGAUGUCCAUCACAGCCAUAUUCCCUCCCACCCCGUCUCCUGCCCUCUCAUCACAAUUAUUAUUAUUAUUAUUUUUACCUUUAUGGCCUUAUUUGCUUUCUACAUUUAUGACAUUUUAAUCUUUUUAAAUUUGCAAAGAAAGGGCUGGGACUUACAUGUAUUUGAAUGAAUUCUAUAUAUUUCCCCUCUUUUCCUGACUCUUCAGUGACAAUCCUAAGACCAUGCUAAUAACAGAAGACAGUAAUCCCUUUUCUUAGCCAAACAAUUUGGAAGCCAUGAUUUUCUUUGCAUAUCAUGAAAGUGACCAUGGUGUUGGAUAUUGUGGUAGAACUUUCAAGUAAAAAAGAACUGUCAUUCAACUGAAUUGGAAGCCUCCAAGACUGCUGAGCACCCCAUGUCUUCGAGUGCACCGAGGCUGGAGGAAUGCUACAGAGGGAAACUUGCUUUGGAAGAAGGUGGUCUUCAUAGCUUCCAAUGUCUCCUAUGCUCCCAUAAAUAAGAGCAGAAAACAGAGACUAUAAAACUUUUGGGUCUCUGAUUUUUCAGACUCUUUUCUUAUUAAUUCCAGCAUAUGCACCUACUGAUGAUGACUUCCUGAGUGACUGAUGUGUGCCAGGUCCUGUAGUUGUUAUAGUUAAAGAGAAUAAAAGAUCCUUCCAUUGCUAUGGUGAUAUUUUUGCCACUAACCAGUUACUCAUCACUCCCAGUUGGAACAUAGCUAAUAUCAUAGGCUUAUAAAAGUGGAAGCCUAUCAAAAAGUUUACCUUUAUUGUGCAAAGAGAAAAAUGUGCUUUGCUAGCAAAAGAAACUAUCAGCAGAGUAAACAGAAAACCUAAGAAUGGGAGAAAAUAUUUGCAAACUGUGCAUCUGAUAAAGGUCUAAUAUCCAGCAUCUAUAAGGAGCUUAAACAAAUUUUCAAGAAAAAUACAAACAACCCGAUUAAAAAGUGGACAAAGGACACAGGCACUUUUCAAAAAAAGACAUACAAGCAUAUGACAAAAAGCUCAAUAUCACUGAUCAUUAGAGAAAUGCAAAUCAAAGCCGCAAUGAGAUACUCAUCUCACACCAGUCAGAAUGGCUAUUAAUAAAAAGUCAAAAAAUAACAGAUGCUGGCAAGGUUGCAGAGAAAAGGGAACACUUAUACACUGUUGGUGGGAGUGCAAAUUAAUUCAUCCAUUGUGGAAAACUGUGUGGUGAUUCUUCAAAGAGAUAAAAACAGAACUACCAUUCGACCCAGCAAUCUCAUUACUGAGUAUUUACCCAAAAGAAUAUAAAUCAUUCUACCAUAAAGACAUAUGAUGUGAAUGUUCAUUGCAGCACUGUUCACAAUAGCAAAGACAUGGAAUCAACCUAAAUGCCCAUGAAUAUAGACUGGAUAAAGCAAAUGUGGUACAUAUACAUUGUGGCAUAAUCUGCAGCUCAAAAAGGAUGAUAUCAUGUUCCUUGCAGCAACAUGGAUGGAGUUGGAGGCCAUUGUCCUUAGCAAACUAACACAGGAACAGAAAACCAAAUACUGCUUGUUCUCUCUUAUAAGUGGGUGCUAAAUGAUGAGAACACACGGAUGCAUACAGACGGGAACAACAGACCCUGGGGCCUACUUGAGGGUAGAGUGUGGGAGGAGGGAAAGGAGCAGAAAAAGCAUCUAUUAGGUAUGAGGCUUAGUACCUGGGUGAUGAAAUAAUCUGUACAACAGCCCCCGUAACGUGAGUUUACCUAUAUAACAAACCUGCACAUUUACCCCUGAACCUAAAAUAGGCGUUAAAAAAAGUGCUUUGCAUUUGCGAGCAGUACAAUUUCUUUGAUAUUGUUUUGGAUCAAGCACCAGAUGUAUGCUUUUUUCCUCUGCUAGUUGCAAGAGGAUGUGCUAGAGAAGAUCACUAUGACCAUAUUCCCUGAUAAACUAUAAAAUUCAUGAGUGUGGGGACCAGAUUUUUCCCCAUAUUUUUAUGCUACAUUCCUGUACCAUUUUAUAAAAUAUAACAGUCAGUGCUGUUGUAAGAGACGGAAACUAGUAUUCCUUUCCCUGUAAGGAAUACUUGCAUCACUAGAGUAGUAUUAUAAUGUAGUUUAUUUAUAUGGAAAGGCACGCAGGAGAUUGCUGGAGAGCUCUUAUAUUGUAUUUGGAUUUGUGGCAGAAGUGUACUCCUAGGCCCCAGACUUACCCUGUGUCCUGGAUCUAUGAGUAUGGCUGGAGAGCCUGUGUGAGUAUCUCAGCCUCUGAGUUCCUUGAUGCAGAACAGACUCACCCAGGGCUCUCUCUCUAGAGAAGUCUUCAACCAUCCGUGAAAAGCAGCCUUCGGUUUAUAAGCUCUGAAGUCGCACAGCUUAACUCCAGUGUUACGGACUGAAUUGUCUUUACUCAAAAUUGAUACAUUGAAGCCCUAGCCCCCAGUGUAACUGUAUUUGGAGAUAAGGCCUUAAAGAGAUACUUAAAGAGGUCUUGUGGGUGGGCUGUCAUCUGAUAGAGCUGGUGUCCCUCGAAGAAGAGGAAGAAACACCAGAGAGGCACGCACGCAGGGGAAAGACCAUGUAAGGACACGGUGAAAACAUGGCCAUCUGCAAGCCGAGGAGAGAGGUCUCAAGAAAAACCAAACCUUCUGACAUCUUGAUCUUGGACUUCCAGCCUCCAGAACUGUAAGAAAUAAAUGUCCAUUGUUUCAGUCUCCCAGUUGGGUAUUUUGUUACGGCAUCCCUAGUAGACUACUACAUCUAGCAAGUAGGACAGUAGUUUGACAGUGUUGAAGAGAGUGUGGUAUGUUCACUGACAAAGUGUUCAUCUGUUUGAUUGCAGACCCUGUUUACCUCCCUUGUUGCAAUUUUACUGCAUCUAUAGCACAUAGAAAGAAAAACUGGGCUUGUGCUAGUCAUUCAGCUGGUGGACUCUCAGUCUAGCUGACAAUACUUUUGCAGCCCUGCCUUGGGCCCCUUCUGGUUCCUUUGGCUGCAGAAUACAAGUUAUACGGUUUCAUUAAUGUGUGCAAAGUACUGUUUGCUAGCCUAAGUGGCAGCAGGAGGCAGAGAUCCAGGGGAUACAGGCAUAAAGAUUAGAGGAAGGAUGUGACAGUGAAGUCAAGACAAAUGAUGCUGUUAGUAUAUGGGGGGACCAUGGCAGGUUAUGGGGUUUCACACAGAGACUGUGGAGUGAGACGGCUGAGGUUUGAAUCCUGAUCUACUAUGUUUUCGGUAGUGAUCCUGAGCAAGUUACUUAACCUGUGUGUGCCUCAGUCUCCUCCUCUGUGAAAAAGAUAUUAAUAGAGUUGUGAGGUUUAAGUGAGUUGUAUUAUGUAAAGUGGUUUCAGCAGUGCCUAAGAACUAGUAGAUGUUCUGUAAGCAUUAGUGAUGAU
rnacentral:lncRNA from 10 species